rnacentral:rRNA from 1 species
CCUACGGGAGGCAGCAGUGAGGAAUAUUGGUCAAUGGACGCAAGUCUGAACCAGCCAUGCCGCGUGCAGGAAGACGGCUCUAUGAGUUGUAAACUGCUUUUGUACGCGGGUAAACGCAGAUACGCGUAUCUGUCUGACAGUAUCGUACGAAUAAGGAUCGGCUAACUCCGUGCCAGCAGCCGCGGUAAUACGGAGGAUUCAAGCGUCAUCCGGACUUCUUGGGUUUAAAGGGUGCGUAGGCGGUCGGAGAAGUUAGAGGUGAAAUCCCGAGGCUCAACGUCGGACUUGCCCCUGAUACUGGUCGGGUAGAGAGUAGGUGCGGUAGGCGGAAUGUAUGGUGUAGCGGUGAAAUGCGUAGAGAUCAGACAGAACACCGAUGGCGAAGGCAGCUUACCAAGCUACUUCUGACGUUGAGGCACGAAAGCGUGGGGAGCAAACAGGAUUAGAUACCCCGGUAGUC